rnacentral:lncRNA from 1 species
UUUUUUUUUUUUUUUUUUUUUUGAGACAAGAGUUUCGCUCUUGUUACCCAGGCUGGAGUGCAAUGGCGCGAUCUCGGCUCACUGCAACCUCCGCCCCCUGGGUUCAGGCAAUUCUCCUGCCUCAGCCUCCUGAGUAGCUGGGAUUACAGGCACACGCCACCGUGCCCAGCUAAUUUUUUGUAAUUUUUAGUAGAGACGGGGUUUCACCAUGUUGACCAGGAUGGUCUCGAUCUGCCGACCUCGUGAUCCACCCGCCUCGGCCUCCCAAAGUGCUGGGAUUACAGGCUUGAGCCACCACGCCCGGCCUACUUUGACUUUUUAAUAUUCUUUAUUGCUUUAUAAUUUGAGUACAAUAAAGUGGAUCCAUUCUAAGGUCACAGUUUGAGCACCUGAAGAAGUUCAAUUUUGUAAACAUGUCAUAAUCAGGACAUGGGACAUUCUCACCUCCACUAAAACUUUUAGGCACAUUUUAAAUAAAUCUCCACUACUAUUUCUGUCACCAGAAAAUGACUAAUCUCCUUUCUAUCACAACAGGUUUGUUUUGCUAUUCUAGAAUGUCAUAUAAAUAAAAUGAUACGAUAUAUGGUCUUUUGUGGCUGCCUUCUUUCACUUAAUAUAAUGCUUUGACAUUCAUCCAAGUUACUGUUUCUAUUAGUUCAUAUCUUAUUAUUGCUCAGUAGUCCAUUGUAGAAAUAUAACUUGUAUAUACUUUUACUGUAUAUUUUAUGUAUCUUCUUUGGGAAGUCUGUUUCAAUCUUGUGUUAUUGCUAUUGGGUUGUUUGCUUUCUUAUUAACGAGUUGUAAGACUCAUUCCAAAAGGUAUAAACAAUCACAAAGAUACAUAAAAUAUGUGGUGACAGUAUAAAUUGUCUUACAGUUAUAUAAUUUGGUGUUGUGUGUAUAUUAUAUAUGUAUAUAGAGAAGAUAUAAAUACUUUGUACUAGUCUGUGAGUUGCCCUUUUAUUAUAUUAAUGGCUUUUUUUUUUUUUUUUUUUGAGACGGAGUUUCACUCUUGUUACCCAGGCUGGAGUGCAAUGGCGCGAUCUCGGCUCACGGCAACCUCCGCCUCCUGGGUUCAGGCAAUUCUCCUGCCUCAGCCUCCUGAGUAGCUGGGAUUACAGGCAUGCGCCACCAUGCCCAGCUAAUUUUUUGUAUUUUUAGUAGAGACGGGGUUUCACCAUGUUGACCAGGUUGGUCUCGAUCUCUCUACCUCGUGAUUCACCCGCCUCGGCCUCCCAAAGUGCUGGGAUUACAGGCUUGAGCCACCGCGCCCGGCCGGUGCUGAACAUUUUUUAAAAAUCAGCUAUCAUUCAGUCAUGAGAAUAGCAUUAGUGGGAUGGUGCUAAACAAUUAGAAACUUCCCCAGUGAUUGAAUCU